AAGUCGUAACAAGGUUUCCGUAGGUGAACCUGCGGAAGGAUCAUUAACACGUGUUUAAUACCACGUUUCAACUCAACCCGUAGAAUCGUUUUCUUGUCUCACUGAUAGCUUGGUGAUGAGAGAGGGAAGGGUGUGAAUGGUGGAAUUUCGCUAUUCUAACUCACUUGUCUGUGGUCCAGACUUCGGUCUGAGGCCAAAGCUGGGCUGUCAGUGUUAUUGCCUGUUCCAGACUGUGGGCCUGCACCUUGGACUGCAUCUGGAACAUAUUUUUUCUUUUUUCGUUUAAUCUGAUAUGAGCACUCGCUCGUGAAUUCCUGGCUUACUUGUGAGCUGGUUGAGUUUGCUUGAGCUUGUGUGAUAAACUAACAAAAAACAACUCUUAGCAACGGAUAUCUUGGUUCUC
rnacentral:misc_RNA from 1 species